rnacentral:rRNA from 1 species
UACAGAGGUGGCAAGCGUUGUUCGGAAUUACUGGGCGUAAAGGGCGCGUAGGCGGCCAUCUAAGUCAGACGUGAAAUCCCCCGGCUCAACCUGGGAACUGCGUCUGAUACUGGACGGCUUGAGUUUGGGAGAGGGAUGUAGAAUUCCAGGUGUAGCGGUGAAAUGCGCAGAUAUCUGGAGGAAUACCGGUGGCGAAGGCGGCAUCCUGGACCAAUACUGACGCUGAGGCGCGAAAGCUAGGGGAGCAAACGGG